UUUUACUCCCUGGCUUAAAAACUAUUAUUUGUCUGGCUCUUUUCUUCUUCAUGUACUUUAUAUUAUCAGUGCAUCAUUUAAACUUUAAGAUGAAACCUAGAUACAGCACUCAGACCCCUGGGGAGUUCAUUCCUAUAGCCGAACGAUGCUUUCGGACCUCUCUGCCAGGGUGCAUCCUUCUACCGAAUGAUUCAAGAGAGCAGUCUUCAUUCACUUCUGCCACUCUUCUGGUGAGACCUGUGACAGCACAGCACAGAGGGAGCAGCCUACAGAGUUGGGGGCAGGUCCCACCUCUCCCUCGUACCCUCCAUCCCUGCCCACUGGGAGCCAGCUCUAUGCUGCUGCAGAAGAAUCAGGCACCCGGGGGAAAGAAGAGAGAUUAA
rnacentral:lncRNA from 1 species